UAUCCAUAAUUGGGGUGCCUUAUCAUAACGGGCUGAGAUUAUACCCUUUGAACCUGUCCGGGUAAUUCCGGAAAGGGAAUGAGCAUUUAUCCUCA
rnacentral:ncRNA from 1 species